rnacentral:rRNA from 1 species
AUUGAACGCUGGCGGCAUGCUUUACACAUGCAAGUCGAACGGGCUUAGGGGCUUGCUCCUAAGUUAGUGGCGAACGGGUGAGUAAUACAUCGGAACGUACCGUGUAGUGGGGGAUAACGUAGCGAAAGUUACGCUAAUACCGCAUACGAUCCACGGAUGAAAGCAGGGGACCUUCGGGCCUUGUGCUAUACGAGCGGCCGAUGUCUGAUUAGCUAGUUGGUGAGGUAAAGGCUCACCAAGGCGACGAUCAGUAGCGGGGUCUGAGAGGAUGAUCCGCCACACUGGGACUGAGACACGGCCCAGACUCCUACGGGAGGCAGCAGUGGGGAAUUUUGGACAAUGGACGGCAAGACC